GGGGAAGGGUGACAUCCGCUAUUGCUUGCAAUGGCAAUUCUAGUUAUUAUUAUUCUUCCAACUAUUUUGUCCGCCACUUUUCUCGGAGCCAAUGGAACCAAUCUUAAUGAUAGUUAAGUAUAAUAGGGAACACAAAAUUUCGGGUUGCAGUAGGGUCUAAGACCAUAAAAAAUGGCUGCCGUUUCCAUGGAAACGGAACAAUUGUGAAAAAUUCCACUUUUUGGUUUUUUGGAAUAAUUUGGAGAUGCUUAAACUCAGAAUCAUUAUAUUUUGAUACAAUGAAGGUGCCACCCAUAUACUGGUUUUGGAUGAUUUUGGCAAUCAUUGGAACUACUAUGUUGCCAUGGAAACUACACCAAAAAUUUCAAAAAUAUGAAAAUGCUCCAAAUUUUUUGAAACUUUACCAUAACGAUGAGCAACUUUGGUAGAUGUGGAAUUUGGCGUUGGAAUUUCCAA
rnacentral:lncRNA from 1 species